rnacentral:rRNA from 1 species
UGGGGAAUAUUGGACAAUGGGCGAAAGCCUGAUCCAGCCAUGCCGCGUGUGUGAAGAAGGUCUUCGGAUUGUAAAGCACUUUAAGUUGGGAGGAAGGGCAGUAAGCGAAUACCUUGCUGUUUUGACGUUACCGACAGAAUAAGCACCGGCUAACUCUGUGCCAGCAGCCGCGGUAAUACAGAGGGUGCAAGCGUUAAUCGGAAUUACUGGGCGUAAAGCGCGCGUAGGUGGUUCGUUAAGUUGAAUGUGAAAGCCCCGGGCUCAACCUGGGAACUGCAUACAAAACUGGCGAGCUAGAGUAGGGCAGAGGGUGGUGGAAAUGCCUGUGUAGCGGUGAAAUGCGUAGAUAUAGGAAGGAACACCAGUGGCGAAGGCGACCACCUGGGCUCAUACUGACACUGAGGUGCGAAAGCGUGGGGAGCAAACAGG